rnacentral:tRNA from 1 species
GGCCCGCUAGCUCAAAUGGUAGAGCAGCUGACUCUUAAUCAGCGGGUUACAGGUUCGAGUCCUGUGCGGGUCA